UACAGAGACUGCAAGCGUUAUUCGGAUUCACUGGGCGUAAAGGGUGCGCAGGCGGUCGGGUAAGUCUGACGUGAAAUCUUCAAGCUCAACUUGGAAACUGCGUCGGAUACUAUUCGGCUAGAGGAAUGGAGGGGAGACUGGAAUUCUCGGUGUAGCAGUGAAAUGCGUAGAUAUCGAGAGGAACACCAGUGGCGAAGGCGAGUCUCUGGACAUUUCCUGACGCUGAGGCACGAAAGCCAGGGGAGCAAACGGG
rnacentral:rRNA from 1 species